rnacentral:rRNA from 1 species
ACGGAAGGCAGCAGUGGGGAAUAUUGGACAAUGGGGGAAACCCUGAUCCAGCGACGCCGCGUGGGUGAAGAAGUUUUUCGGAAUGUAAAGCCCUAUCAGCAGGGAAGAUAAUGACGGUACCUGACUAAGAAGCACCGGCUAAAUACGUGCCAGCAGCCGCGGUAAUACGUAUGGUGCAAGCGUUAACCGGAUUUACUGGGUGUAAAGGGAGCGCAGACGGCAUGGCAAGCCAGAUGUGAAAGGUGGGGGCUCAACCCCCAAGCUGCAUUUGGAACUGUCAAGCUAGAGUAUCGGAGAGGUAAGUGGAAUUCCUAGUGUAGCGGUGAAAUGCGUAGAUAUUAGGAGGAACACCAGUGGCGAAGGCGGCUUACUGGACGAUAACUGACGUUGAGGCUCGAAAGCGUGGGGAGCAAACAGGAUUAGAUACCCUGGUA